rnacentral:lncRNA from 1 species
GUGCUCCCAUGAGUCCAAAUAUCAUUCUGAGGCACUAGAGUAAUUAAAAAUCUACUAUCAGCCAUCCCAUAUAUUGGAACUGACCUUGUACAAUGAAUGUGAGGCAGAUUCUCAGUUGACAAAGCCACCCUUACAAGAUAAUUCCCCUUCCAUUUCAUCUUACCCUUCAUCAUUACAGCUCUAGCAAUUAUUUACGUUUUAUUCUUACAUGAAACAGGAUCUAAUAACCCUUUAAGGGUUUCAUCAGACCCCCAUAAAAAUCACUUUCCACUCCUACCCUACAACUAAAGAUAUUCUAGGUUUCAUUUUCCUCCUCCUCCUUAAUAACUCUAGUACUAUUUUUGCCUGACCUCCUGAGUGACCCAGAUAAUUACAGUUUAGCCAACCCCCUCAAUACCCCACCCCACAUUAAACCAGGGUGAGACUUUUUGUUUGCAUAUGCAAUCUUAAGAUCCAUCCCUAACAAACUAGGAGGCGUUCUGGCCCUUGUAUUCUCCAUUCUCAUUUUAGCAGUUAUUCCCAUACGUCACAUGUCUAAACAACAAAGUGUAAUAUUCGGGCCAUUAAGUCAAUGCCUAUUCUGAAUCUUAGUGGCUGCCCUGUUUACAUUCACAUAAAUCAGAGGGCAGUCAGCCGAAUGCUCUUUUAUUACCAUCGGACAGACAGCAUCCAUUAUGUACUUCUCUACUAUCCUCACUCUCAUACUAUGCACUACCCUAAUUGAAAAUAAACUACCUAAA